AUGGCACUCAUUGAUCGCCAUCCACCCUCUAGUGACACCGUUAGCACGUUGCCAGUGGGUAUUCAGACGGUCCUCAAUGAGUACAGCGACGUGUUUGCAGAACCAAAGAAACUGCCACCACACCAUCAAUAUGAUCAUGCCAUUACAUUGGUGGAAGGAGCACAACCAGCAAACUCACGACCCUACCGAUACUCGCCAUUGCAGAAAGAUGAGAUCGAGCGGCAAGUCAGAGAAAUGCUUAACUCCGGGGUGAUCACGCACAGCAUGAGCCCUUACGCAGCCCCGGUUCUCUUGGUAAAAAAGAAGGAUGGCUCAUGGCGCUUCUGCGUCGACUAUCGUCGCCUAAACGACACCACUGUGAAGAAUCGUUUUCCCCUUCCCAUCGUAGAUGAGUUGCUGGAUGAACUUGCUGGUGCCCGGUAUUUUUCCAAACUUGAUUUACGGGCGGGCUACCACCAAAUACGGAUGAGAGAAGGCGACGAAGAAAAGACGGCAUUCAAGACUCACCAUGGACACUUCCAUUUUCGAGUCAUGCCGUUCGGCUUGACAAACGCACCAGCCACCUUUCAGUGCCUCAUGAACCAGAUCUUCUCCAAGUAUGUACGCAAGUUUGUGAUCAUUUUUCUCGAUGACAUCUUGGUGUUUAGUGAAUCACUAUAG
rnacentral:rRNA from 1 species